GGACGAAACUCUGGAGAGACCCCCUCCGCUUCCACACUAAUGAAACGGAGGAAAAAGGGCACCGAAGGAGCAAGUCUGCGCCACCGCGCAGAUAAUCUCUCAGGUAAAAGGACAGGGAUUACAAA
rnacentral:ncRNA from 2 species